rnacentral:rRNA from 1 species
GCCGAUGAAGGACGUGAUAAGCUGCGAUAAGCUGCGGUAAGGAGCACAUAUCCGAUAUACCCGCAGAUUUCCGAAUGGGGGAACCCACAUACGGUAAUGCGUAUGUAUCAUUAAGUGAAUACAUAGCUUAAUGAAGGGAACCGCGUGAACUGAAACAUCUAAGUAACGCGAGGAAAAGAAAGUAAAAACGAUACCCAAAGUAGCGGCGAGCGAAAUGGGUCAAGCCUAAACCUUAAAUAUGUCAAGGAUACAGCCGUUGUAUUUAGGGGGUUGAGGGACAGAGUAGUGAAGAACUGUAAGAUAUUCAAUAUAGUGUAUUGAUGAAUUGGAAUUGUCUGGAAAGGCGAACCGUAGAAGGUGAAAGUCCUGUACAAGUAAAUCCUUACACAUAUAACUUUGAUCCCAAGUAACAUGGAACACGAGGAAUUCUGUGUGAAUCAGUGAGGACCAUAUCUCAUAAGGCUAAAUACUCUUACUAACCGAUAGCGCAUAGUACCGUGAGGGAAAGGUGAAAAGAACCC